UAUUGAUAUUCUUACUUUUAUAUUUGUAAUUUAUUUGAGAGAAAUAUCUUUGUUUUUAGUAUAUUAAAGAAUUAAGAUUUUUAGUUAUAGUUUAUUAGUACUGUGAAGGAAUAUUUGAUGAAAUAUAUUGAAAAUUUUUUUUUAAUAAGUAGAUUUAGUUUAUUGUACCUUUUGUAUCAGGGUUGAUUAAUUAUUAUUAAUUUAUUUCUCGAUUUCAGAAGAGCUAAAUUUAUAUUUUAUUUGUUGUUUCAUAAACAUUAAAAAUUUAAUUUUAGGGAAGAAAUUUCAUUCGAUUUUAAAGGUAUCUAGUUUUUUAAGAAUUAAAUUUAAUUUAGGUUUAUUUAUUAUUUAAUUAAUUUAUUAAUUAUUUAUUAAAUAAUACAAAAAUAUUGGGGGAUAAGCUCUAAUUUUGUUCUAUAUGUUUUUAUUAUUCAGUUUUUGUAGGACUUAAAACACCCAUCGUUGAAAAAUUCGUUGUAGUUUAUGCUUGUUUUAAUAUGAUUUUCUUUGUACUUAGUAUUUUAUUAAAAUAAUAUUUUUAAUUUUAUAAAUUUGGUAAUAAUGAUUAAAUUAGUAUAUUUUAUCUUGUAAUUUAUUUAUUUGUGGUGAUAAUUAAAUAAGGAAUUCGGCAAAUAUAGUAGUCGCCUGUUUAUCAAAAACAUGUCCUCUUGGUAUAAUGUAUAUGAGGUCUGACCUGCCCGGUGAAGAAUAUUUUUAACGGCCGCGGUAUUUUGACCGUGCAAAGGUAGCAUAAUCAUUAGUCUUUUAAUAGGGGGCUGGUAUGAAGGGUUUAACGAGCUAUUGGCUGUCUCAUUUAAUUUGGUAUUAAAAUUUAACCUUUCAGUUAAAAGGCUGAAAUUUUGUUGGAAGACGAGAAGACCCUAUAGAGCUUUAUUGUUAGGAUUUCAAUAUUAUUUUGUUUAUUAUUAUUUUUUGGAGUUUAAACAAUUUUGUUGGGGUGACAAAAAUAUAUAAUUAACUUUUUUAUUUUAUUAACAUUGAUUUAUGAUUUUUAGAUCCAUUCUUAUUGAUUGUUAGAUCAAGUUACCUUAGGGAUAACAGCGUAAUCUUCCCUUGGAGUUCUUAUUUACGGGGAGGCUUGCGACCUCGAUGUUGGAUUAAGAUAAUAGUUAGGUGUAGCCGCUUAAUUAAUAGGUCUGUUAGA
rnacentral:rRNA from 1 species